rnacentral:rRNA from 1 species
UACGGGGGGAGCAAGCGUUGUUCGGAUUUACUGGGCGUAAAGAGCUCGUAGGCGGCUUGUUGCGUCGACUGUGAAAACCCGCGGCUUAACUGCGGGCUUGCAGUUGAUACGGGCAGGCUAGAGUUCGGUAGGGGAGACUGGAAUUCCUGGUGUAGCGGUGAAAUGCGCAGAUAUCAGGAGGAACACCGGUGGCGAAGGCGGGUCUCUGGGCCGAUACUGACGCUGAGGAGCGAAAGCGUGGGGAGCGAACAGG